UACGGAGGGUGCAAGCGUUAUCCGGAUUCACUGGGUUUAAAGGGUGCGUAGGUGGGUUGGUAAGUCAGUGGUGAAAUCCCCGAGCUUAACUUGGGAACUGCCAUUGAUACUAUCAGUCUUGAAUACCGUGGAGGUCAGCGGAAUAUGUCAUGUAGCGGUGAAAUGCUUAGAUAUGACAUAGAACACCAAUUGCGAAGGCAGCUGGCUACACGAAUAUUGACACUGAGGCACGAAAGCGUGGGGAUCAAAACAGG
rnacentral:rRNA from 1 species